UACUCUAAUGAUGUUAAAACUAUUAACUUUCGUUCUCCUGAGAUUUCAUUGUGCUGAAAAAUAAUUGGAGACCUGAACUGAAGAGUU
rfam:Brassica napus, WGS project CCCW01000000 data, contig: 3294